CAGUCUCUUUAGCAGUCCUUGGUUCUAUACAAGAUACUUUAUCUCUAGGCAUCUUGGUUUUAUAUAACUUCUUUCAAGAGACAAGAAAGCUGAAGUUAAAUUUCUAGCUAAUCCUAGGUAAGAGUAAGAAAAUAAAAAGUUUGCUAGGACCGUUGGAAUGAAAGACCGAUGUAUCGGUCCUUAAGACCGUAGAAUGAUAAAAAGGAUCAUACCGGGAAAAAAAAGACUGAAAAGGGAAGGGAAUGACUGAUAAGGAAAUCAGUCCAUAGACAAACGCAACACUAAUUAUAACUCAUUAGUUGUUUACUUACAUUCGUUUAUAAACAAUGCCAUAGAGAAUGGUGCAUUCUUGUGGCAAAAUAAUACAACUCCCAGAAUGAUAAUGAAUGCCGAUAACUUGUUUACAAUUACGACAUGGUCUUCUUUAAACAGGUGGAGGAUGACUUGCAAGCUGUUGAAGGAGCUCUAUGCGGAAAACCGAUGGACUACCAAUAUACCGCUAUGUCUACGAGAAGAAUUUGACUACUGGUUUGAGAAAAUUUGAAUGUAUAUUGAGACGAAAAGACUACCAAUGUAAGGCAACAAUUAAGAUCAACAGAAACGAUGAAUUUAUUAAACAAAUCAACAAUCAUACACACGCUCAAUCGGAAACUUAGACUCAAGUUACCAUUAUGAUAUCCAAUAUUAAAAGAAGGGUUCAAGAAACAAUUGAUACUCCACAGCAAAUUAUAUCCAAAGAAUUAAGAAACGUAAAUGAUGAUGUUGCUGGUAAUCUUCCUAAAAUUGAAAAGAUGAGAAGAAAUAUCCAAAAAGUUAGGGAAACAAAUGGCAUACCACCGAAUCCAUUGAAUCGGCAAGAUGUAAUAGUUGAAAUUGAAAUUGUUUUAUUAAUAUAGGUGGGAAUUCAGAGGGGGGAUUUGUCUGGAAUCCACAUGGAGAGCGCUGUCAAAUUUUUUCAGAGCAUAUGCCAUUUUUUAAACAAAAAGUUGACAAACCUACAGACUGGCACAUCACCGAACCAAAGAAAGAGAAGUCAAACCAAUUUGUGAUAUGUUUAAAUACUAUAUAUAUAUAUAUAUUGUAUUCACAAGCAAUAACAGCAUGGACAC
rnacentral:lncRNA from 1 species